rnacentral:rRNA from 1 species
CCUAGGGGUGGCAGCAGUGGGGAAUAUUGCACAAUGGGCGCAAGCCUGAUGCAGCGACGCCGCGUGAGGGAUGACGGCCUUCGGGUUGUAAACCUCUUUCACCAGGGACGAAGCGUGAGUGACGGUACCUGGAGAAGAAGCACCGGCCAACUACGUGCCAGCAGCCGCGGUAAUACGUAGGGUGCGAGCGUUGUCCGGAAUUACUGGGCGUAAAGAGCUCGUAGGCGGUUUGUCGCGUCGUCUGUGAAAUUCUGCAGCUUAACUGUAGGCGUGCAGGCGAUACGGGCAGACUUGAGUACUACAGGGGAGACUGGAAUUCCUGGUGUAGCGGUGAAAUGCGCAGAUAUCAGGAGGAACACCGGUGGCGAAGGCGGGUCUCUGGGUAGUAACUGACGCUGAGGGACGAAAGCGUGGGUAGCGAACA